AACCAUAGAAACCUGCGGAGUACCUGCGGAAGGAUCAUUACCGAGUUUACAGCUCCCAAACCCCUGUGAACAUACCAAUUGUUGCCUCGGCGGAUCAGCCCGCUCCCGGUAAAACGGGACGGCCCGCCAGAGGACCCCUAAACUCUGUUUCUAUAUGUAACUUCUGAGUAAAACCAUAAAUAAAUCAAAACUUUUAACAAUGGAUCU
rnacentral:misc_RNA from 1 species